rnacentral:rRNA from 1 species
AGCAGCCGCGGUAAUUCCAGCUCCAAUAGCGUAUAUUAAAGUUGUUGCAGUUAAAAGCUCGUAGUUGAAUUUCGAGAUCAAAUUGUUGGUCGUGCCUUGGUACGCACUGGCAUUAUUGGUUUCUCCCUUCUGACGAACCAUGAUGUCAUUAAUUUGGUGUCUUGGGGAAUCAGGACUGUUACUUUGAAAAAAUUAGAGUGUUUAAAGCAGGCUCACGCUUGAAUACAUUAGCAUGGAAUAAUGAAAUAGGACGUUUGAUUCUAUUUUGUUGGUUUCUAGGAUCGACGUAAUGAUUAAUAGGGAUAGUUGGGGGCAUUAGUAUUCAAUUGUCAGAGGUGAAAUUCUUGGAUUUAUUGAAGACUAACUACUGCGAAAGCAUUUGCCAAGGAUGUUUUCAUUAAUCAAGAACGAAAGUUAGGGGAUCGAAGACGAUCAGAUACCGUCGUAGUCUUAACCAUAAACUAUGCCGACUAGGGAUCGGAUGAUGUUAAUUUUUUAAUGACUCAUUCGGCGCCUUACGGGAAACCAAAGUGUUU